rnacentral:lncRNA from 10 species
AAAAUCCUAAAUUGACAAAGUUUAAGCAGAUGGUAUUUCUGUAUUUCAGGUAUUAAAUAAGUGAUUCCACAAAUAAUGAUGUAAAUGAAAUUUGAGUAAAUUAUUUGGGCCAAAACAUGGUCACCAUCUUAUGAUGUUUUCUUUGAAAAGGUCCAUAGGAUGGCAGUUGUGGAGGCCCCCACUAAUGCUAUUUUGAAAAAUGGAAAUAAAGUUAUUACUCCUUUCUACCUUGUUUACGUGACCUUUCAUGUCCUGAACUGUAAAGUGGAAACAGUAUGAGAUUUCUUGCUUUGUCCCCAAAAUUCAGAUAAUACUUAAGAAGAGAAAUUACGUUGCAUAUUUUUUACUUCUCCCAAUGUGCCUAGCAUAGGUCUGGCCACUUUGUAGGCAUCAUGGAAAGCUUAUCGUUUAAGAAUUUCUUCACAAACUUAUAUUAACUGUGAUUACAUAUAUAUAUAUAUAUAUGUGUGUGUGUGUGUGUGUGUGUGUAUAUAUAUACACACACAUAGACACACACGUAUAUAUUAUCCAUAUAUAAA